rnacentral:rRNA from 1 species
CGGUCCAGACUCCUACGGGAGGCAGCAGUAGGGAAUCUUCCGCAAUGGGCGAAAGCCUGACGGAGCAACGCCGCGUGAGUGAUGAAGGUCUUCGGAUCGUAAAACUCUGUUAUUAGGGAAGAACAAACGUGUAAGUAACUGUGCACGUCUUGACGGUACCUAAUCAGAAAGCCACGGCUAACUACGUGCCAGCAGCCGCGGUAA